rnacentral:rRNA from 1 species
UACGUAGGGUGCGAGCGUUGUCCGGAAUUACUGGGCGUAAAGAGCUCGUAGGUGGUUUGUCGCGUUGUUCGUGAAAACUCACAACUCAAUUGUGGGCGUGCGGGCGAUACGGGCAGACUGGAGUACUGCAGGGGAGACUGGAAUUCCUGGUGUAGCGGUGGAAUGCGCAGAUAUCAGGAGGAACACCGGUGGCGAAGGCGGGUCUCUGGGCAGUAACUGACGCUGAAGAGCGAAAGCGUGGGGAGCGAACAGG